GAUGAACGCUGGCGGCGUGCCUAAUACAUGCAAGUCGAGCGAACAGAUAAGGAGCUUGCUCCUUUGACGUUAGCGGCGGACGGGUGAGUAACACGUGGGUAACCUACCUAUAAGACUGGGAUAACUUCGGGAAACCGGAGCUAAUACCGGAUAACAUUUGGAACCGCAUGGUUCUAAAGUGAAAGAUGGUUUUGCUAUCACUUAUAGAUGGACCCGCGCCGUAUUAGCUAGUUGGUAAGGUAACGGCUUACCAAGGCAACGAUACGUAGCCGACCUGAGAGGGGGAUCGGCCACACUGGAGCUGAGACACGGUCCAGACUCCUACGGGAGGCAGCAGUAGGGAAUCUUCCGCAAUGGGCGAAAGCCUGACGGAGCAACGCCGCGUGGGUGAUGAAGGGUUUCGGCUCGUAAAACUCUGUUAUUAGGGAAGAACGAACGUGUAAGUAACUGUGCACGUCUUGACGGUACCUAAACAGAAAGCCACGGCUAACUACGUG
rnacentral:rRNA from 1 species